UAGAAGGUGGUGUAGUGGAAGCACAAGGAGUUUUGAUCUCCUCAGGUUAGGUUCGAAUCCUGUCCUUCUAU
rnacentral:tRNA from 1 species